rnacentral:rRNA from 1 species
GAAUUUAGCAGAGAUGCUUUAGUGCCUUCGGGAACUCUGAGACAGGUGCUGCAUGGCUGUCGUCAGCUCGUGUUGUGAAAUGUUGGGUUAAGUCCCGCAACGAGCGCAACCCUUAUCCUUUGUUGCCAGCACGUAAUGGUGGGAACUCAAAGGAGACUGCCGGUGAUAAACCGGAGGAAGGUGGGGAUGACGUCAAGUCAUCAUGGCCCUUACGAGUAGGGCUACACACGUGCUACAAUGGCGCAUACAAAGAGAAGCGACCUCGCGAGAGCAAGCGGACCUCAUAAAGUGCGUCGUAGUCCGGAUUGGAGUCUGCAACUCGACUCCAUGAAGUCGGAAUCGCUAGUAAUCGUAAAUCAGAAUGUUACGGUGAAUACGUUCCCGGGCCUUGUACACACCGCCCGUCACACCAUGGGAGUGGGUUGCAAAAGAAGUAGAUAGCUUAACCUUCGGGAGGGCGUUUACCACUUUGUGAUUCAUGACUGGGGUGAAGUCGUAACAAGGUAGGCGUAGUGCU